UUGACCUCGGAUCAGGUAGGGAUACCCGCUGAACUUAAGCAUAUCACGUCCUUUUUAGGGGACGCCUACCCGCCGAAGCAACAGUUAAGGUAUGUUCACAAAGGGUUGAUGAGCGGUAACUCAGUAAUGAUCCCUCCGCAGG
rnacentral:rRNA from 1 species